rnacentral:lncRNA from 1 species
UUUCUUCAAUUUCUGUUAUUGAAUUUUCUUUUUCACGCGCAUUUCUUUUGUUGCAACUCCUUCUGUUAGAUUUCUUUAGCUUUCUACUUUUUUUAUCUUUUCUUUUUCUUUCUUCUCGUUUGUUUCCGUUAAAUUGCGAAUAGCACUUUAUUGUUCACUAGGGCCGCUUAUUUUCUGUCGCCAUCAUUUAGAUUGUUAUUCUUCCCGUAAUAAUCUUCAAGUAAGUGUAAUUUGCGGGUUUUGUUCUAAGAAAGUUGAUUUCGGUUUCUUUAGGAGGUCUGUU